GGCUCAGGAUGAACGCUGGCGGCGUGCCUAAUACAUGCAAGUCGAACGCACAGCGAAAGGUGCUUGCACCUUUCAAGUGAGUGGCGAACGGGUGAGUAACACGUGGAUAACCUACCUCAAGGUUGGGGAUAACAUUUGGAAACAGAUGCUAAUACCGAAUAAAACUUCGUAUCGCAUGAUACAAGGUUAAAAGGCGCUACGGCGUCACCUAGAGAUGGAUCCGCGGUGCAUUAGUUAGUUGGUGGGGUAAAGGCCUACCAAGACAAUGAUGCAUAGCCGAGUUGAGAGACUGAUCGGCCACAUUGGGACUGAGACACGGCCCAAACUCCUACGGGAGGCUGCAGUAGGGAAUCUUCCACAAUGGGCGAAAGCCUGAUGGAGCAACGCCGCGUGUGUGAUGAAGGCUUUCGGGUCGUAAAGCACUGUUGUAUGGGAAGAACAGCUAGAGUAGGGAAUGACUUUAGUUUGACGGUACCAUACCAGAAAGGGACGGCUAAAUACGUG
rnacentral:rRNA from 1 species